UACGAAGGGGGCUAGCGUUGCUCGGAUUGACUGGGCGUAAAGGGCGCGUAGGCGGUUCGUACAGUCAGACGUGAAAUUCCUGGGCUCAACCUGGGGGCUGCGUUUGAUACGUGCGGACUUGAGUGCGGAAGAGGGUCGUGGAAUUCCCAGUGUAGAGGUGAAAUUCGUAGAUAUUGGGAAGAACACCGGUGGCGAAGGCGGCUCUCUGGGCCUUACCUGGACGCUGAGGAGCGAAAGCGUGGGUAGCGAACAGG
rnacentral:rRNA from 1 species